UGGCGACGGGUGAGUAACCGUGGGCAAUCUGCCCUUCACUCUGGGACAAGCCCUGGAAACGGGGUCUAAUACCGGAUAAUACUUCUGCUCUCAUGGGCAGGGGUUAAAAGCUCCGGCGGUGAAGGAUGAGCCCGCGGCCUAUCAGCUUGUUGGUGAGGUAAUGGCUCACCAAGGCGACGACGGGUAGCCGGCCUGAGAGGGCGACCGGCCACACUGGGACUGAGACACGGCCCAGACUCCUACGGGAGGCAGCAGUGGGGAAUAUUGCACAAUGGGCGAAAGCCUGAUGCAGCGACGCCGCGUGAGGGAUGACGGCCUUCGGGUUGUAAACCUCUUUCAGCAGGGAAGAAGCGAAAGUGACGGUACCUGCAGAAGAAGCGCCGGCUAACUACGUGCCAGCAGCCGCGGUAAUACG
rnacentral:rRNA from 1 species